rnacentral:lncRNA from 1 species
CUCCCAUAAGACUGUGACUCUGUACAACAAUUUUGUGUUUGAUCCUUGUGUAGGAACAGUCCUUUUGAACGACAGCAUCUUUAGCAGACGAUUUAAUGCAGCGAUUUUUUAAAGCAAAGAAACUAACUGAAAUGAUGUUGAGGUAUGAUGCUGUGCUGUCAGAGCUGCCAUGGAAAUUGCUGGCGCCUAGGGGGACAGACAGGGAAGAACAUUCAAGGUGUGUGGGUGAAAGGUGAACACCAGCAACAAGCAUCCUGCUGAGCUCAAAGCUGAAAACAUACCAGUACAGAUUCUGUAAGAGUACAAUAAAUACAGUCACCUAAG